GAUGAACGCUGGCGGCGUGCCUAAUACAUGCAAGUCGAGCGAACAGAUGAGGAGCUUGCUCCUCUGACGUUAGCGGCGGACGGGUGAGUAACACGUGGAUAACCUACCUAUAAGACUGGGAUAACUUCGGGAAACCGGAGCUAAUACCGGAUAAUAUAUUGAACCGCAUGGUUCAAUAGUGAAAGACGGUUUUGCUGUCACUUAUAGAUGGAUCCGCGCCGCAUUAGCUAGUUGGUAAGGUAACGGCUUACCAAGGCAACGAUGCGUAGCCGACCUGAGAGGGUGAUCGGCCACACUGGAACUGAGACACGGUCCAGACUCCUACGGGAGGCAGCAGUAGGGAAUCUUCCGCAAUGGGCGAAAGCCUGACAGAGCAACGCCGCGUGAGUGAUGAAGGUCUUCGGAUCGUAAAACUCUGUUAUUAGGGAAGAACAAAUGUGUAAAUAACUAUGCACGUCUUGACGGUACCUAAUCAGAAAGCCACGGCUAACUACGUG
rnacentral:rRNA from 1 species